rnacentral:tRNA from 1 species
AGUUAAUGAGCUUGAAUAAGCUUAUGUUUUGAAAACAUAAUAUAAAUAUAUUAAUUAUUUAUUAACUU